rnacentral:rRNA from 1 species
GUAGUCCGCACCGUAAACGUUGUAUACUAGUUGUUGGUGGUUUCAACGCCAUCAGUGACGUCGCUAACGCAUUAAGUAUACCGCCUGGGGAGUAUGCUCGCAAGGGUGAAACUCAAAGAAAUUGACGGGGGCCCGCACAAGCGGUGGAGCAUGUGGUUUAAUUCGACGAUACGCGAGAAACCUUACCUGGGUUUGACAUGGAUUUGACUGGGGUAGAGAUACCCCUUCCCGCAAGGGCAGAUUCACAGGUGUUGCAUGGUCGUCGUCAGCUCGUGUUGUGAGAUGUUGGGUUAAGUCCCGCAACGAGCGCAACCCCUAUCUUCUGUUGCCAAUAUUAAGUUAGGCACUCUGAAGAAACCGCCGGUGACAAACCGGA